GCCGCGUGAGUGAAGAAGGCCUUCGGGUUGUAAAGCUCUUUUGUCAGGGAAGAAACGGUGAGGGCUAAUAUCCUUUGCUAAUGACGGUACCUGAAGAAUAAGCACCGGCUAACUACGUGCCAGCAGCCGCGGUAAUACGUAGGGUGCAAGCGUUAAUCGGAAUUACUGGGCGUAAAGCGUGCGCAGGCGGUUAUGUAAGUCAGAUGUGAAAUCCCCGGGCUCAACCUGGGAAUGGCAUUUGAGACUGCAUGGCUAGAGUGUGUCAGAGGGGGGUAGAAUUCCACGUGUAGCAGUGAAAUGCGUAGAGAUGUGGAGGAAUACCGAUGGCGAAGGCAGCCCCCUGGGAUAACACUGACGCUCAUGCACGAAAGCGUGGGGAGCAAACAGGAUUAGAUACCCUGGUAGUCCACGCCCUAAACGAUGUCUACUAGUUGUCGGGACUUAAUUGUCUUGGUAACGCAGCUAACGCGUGAAGUAGACCGCCUGGGGAGUACGGUCGCAAGAUUAAAACUCAAAGGAAUUGACGGGGACCCGCACAAGCGGUGGAUGAUGUGGAUUAAUUCGAUGCAACGCGAAAAACCUUACCUACCCUUGACAUGUACGGAACCUCUGAGAGAU
rnacentral:rRNA from 1 species